rnacentral:rRNA from 1 species
CCUACGGGUGGCAGCAGUGGGGAAUAUUGGACAAUGGGCGAAAGCCUGAUCCAGCCAUGCCGCGUGUGUGAAGAAGGCCUUCGGGUUGUAAAGCACUUUCAGUGGGGAAGAAAGCCUUGGGGCUAAUACCCUCGAGGAAGGACAUCACCCACAGAAGAAGCACCGGCUAACUCCGUGCCAGCAGCCGCGGUAAUACGGAGGGUGCGAGCGUUAAUCGGAAUUACUGGGCGUAAAGCGCGCGUAGGCGGUCUGAUAAGCCGGUUGUGAAAGCCCCGGGCUCAACCUGGGAACGGCAUCCGGAACUGUCAGGCUAGAGUGCAGGAGAGGAAGGUAGAAUUCCCGGUGUAGCGGUGAAAUGCGUAGAGAUCGGGAGGAAUACCAGUGGCGAAGGCGGCCUUCUGGACUGACACUGACGCUGAGGUGCGAAAGCGUGGGUAGCAAACAGGAUUAGCUACCCGAGUAGUC